rnacentral:tRNA from 1 species
UAAAUGGAAGCCAAAUAGAGGCAUCUAACUGUUAAUUAGAAGACUGUUAUUAAUUAACCCAUUUAA